rnacentral:rRNA from 1 species
ACACGUAGGGCGCAAGCGUUGUCCGGAUUUAUUGGGCGUAAAGGGCUCGUAGGCGGUUUCGUAAGUCGGGUGUGAAAACUCAGGGCUCAACCCUGAGACGCCACUCGAUACUGCGAUGACUUGAGUCCGGUAGGGGAGCAGGGAAUUCCUGGUGUAGCGGUGAAAUGCGCAGAUAUCAGGAGGAACACCAUUAGCGAAGGCGCUGCUCUGGGCCGGUUCUGACGCUGAGGAGCGAAAGCAUGGGGAGCAAACAGGAUUAGAAACCCCAGUAGUCC